rnacentral:lncRNA from 1 species
UGAAAAUCAGCAGAAUUCCUGCAGGCUUAUGUUGGAAUGGACUUUAAUCUUUUUCUCCUUUGGGAAGGCAAAAUGCGUCCUUUGCAGUGGAAUCAUUACCUGAUGACCAGGCAUGUUAUUUUAAAAGAGCAAAAUGGGAAGCAGAAGCUGAGAAACUCUACAUCACUCAAGAGUGUCUGCAUGAUGUUCACCCAUCAAACCGAAAGACGCCUAAGUGGAAGGUGGCUUUGGGCGAGGGGAAUACCUGCUGGCUUGCUGAGACCCAGAGAAGGAAAACAAAGUGAAGUAAAUUGCAUGUUCUCUUCUCUACUCCGGCUGCCAAGGCUUUGUGCAGACAAUGCUGAGAAAUUACAAAGCCUGGAGGAGGUUCAGCUGUGCAAACGUGCAUCUCUCUGCCAUCUGCCUCUUCAUCUUGUCUCUUACAAGAUGAAGAUUAUAGAGAUAUGUACACAUGUGCAUGCACAUAUGCGUGUGCAAUGAUUCUAUACCAGGUGUUGUACAAAGCUAUUUUGGAAGGUGGCAAAAUUAGAUAGCUGAGUAAACAUGAGCUCGACUAAGACAUUUUUGUGGUGAGACAAAAUUUCAUGUUUGAUCUAAGUAGCUGCAAUUUAGACGCUCACACUCACUGCUCUGCAAGGUUUUUGGCUAAGGAUGGUAGAAGAAGUAUCUAAAGAAUCUGCUUAAGGGGUUAGAGCAAU